UGCCAGCAGCCGCGGUAAUACGAAGGGACCUAGCGUAGUUCGGAAUCAUUGGGCGUAAAGAGAAUGUAGGCGGAAUUAUAAGUCUGGUGUGAAAUCCCACAGCUCAACUGUGGAACUGCAUCGGAUACUGUUUUUCUUGAAUUGUAGAGGGGGUCGCGGAAUUUCUGGUGUAGAGGUGAAAUUUGUAGAUAUCAGAAAGAACACCGGUGGCGAAGGCGGCGACCUGGCUAUUAAUUGACGCUGAGAUUCGAAAGCGUGGGUAGCGAACAGGAUUAGAUA
rnacentral:rRNA from 1 species